UCGUAGGUGAGGUAGCGCAACAGUGUAAGAAAAAUUAAUAUACAGAACGUCGUUUUAUACG
rnacentral:sRNA from 1 species